CUUCACCGACCCCAACCACAGCGGCUCGGCGCGGUCCUGCCCGUAGGUGGCGAGCAGCGCCUGGGCCUC
rnacentral:antisense_RNA from 1 species